AUUAAUAGAUAUAAUCUUUAAACUUGGAGAAUUUGGCGGUAAUUUAGUCUUGUCAGAGGAACCUGUUUUAGAUAAUCGAUAUACCACGUAUAAUCUUACUUAUUUUAAUUAGUUUAUAUACCGUCAUUGUCAGAUGAUUUUUAAAAAAUUAGUAAUUAUUAAAGUUUAUAAAAUUAAUAAAUUAAAUUAGAUCAAGGUGUAGCUUAUAAAUAAGUUAAAAUGGGUUACAAUAAAAUUUAUUUACUAUGAAAUAAUUAUAAAGGGAACAAUUAUUAGGAAGGAGGAUUUGAUUGUAAUGAUAUUUUAAUAAGUUAAAAAGAUAUAAGCUCUAAAUUAU
rnacentral:rRNA from 1 species